rnacentral:rRNA from 1 species
UACGUAGGGAGCAAGCGUUGUCCGGAAUCAUUGGGCGUAAAGCGCGCGUAGGUGGUCCCGUAAGUCCGCUGUGAAAGUCAAAGGCUCAACCUUUGAAAGCCGGUGGAUACUGUGGGACUAGAGUACGGAAGAGGCGAGUGGAAUUCCUGGUGUAGCGGUGGAAUGCGCAGAUAUCAGGAAGAACACCAACGGCGAAGGCAGCUCGCUAGGACGGUACUGACGCUGAGCCGCGAAAGCGUGGGGAGCGAACAGG